AUGUUUCCUAUAAAUACCCAACCCCAACUUCAUUCAAACCCACUUGAUUCUGAGAUUUUCUCUAAGUUGGAGAGCAAAUGCAUAGGAUGAUCGUGAUACACUAGGAUGGACUUGGGCCUUAGUGACGAUAAAAUGGAUCUAGACUAGUUAAAACUUGUUAUGUACUUUGUUUCUUUUUAUUUUAAGACAAUGUAACUUGUGGGUUCUCGUUUGAAACAAUGUAUUCCACCCUUGGGUGAUGAAUAAAAUAUUAUUUAAAUUACCUUGGUUGUGGAACAAUAAUUCUGUUACAACACUCC
rnacentral:lncRNA from 1 species